rnacentral:rRNA from 1 species
GAUGAACGCUGGCGGCGUGCCUAAUACAUGCAAGUCGAGCGAACGGACGAGAAGCUUGCUUCUCUGAUGUUAGCGGCGGGCGGGUGAGUAACACGUGGAUAACCUACCUAUAAGACUGGGAUAACUUCGGGAAACCGGAGCUAAUACCGGAUAAUAUUUUGAACCGCAUGGUUCAAAAGUGAAAGACGGUCUUGCUGUCACUUAUAGAUGGAUCCGCGCUGCAUUAGCUAGUUGGUAAGGUAACGGCUUACCAAGGCAACGAUGCAUAGCCGACCUGAGAGGGUGAUCGGCCGCACUGGAACUGAGACACGGUCCAGACUCCUACGGGAGGCAGCAGUAGGGAAUCUUCCGCAAUGGGCGAAAGCCUGACGGAGCAACGCCGCGUGAGUGAUGAAGGUCUUCGGAUCGUAAAACUCUGUUAUUAGGGAAGAACAUAUGUGUAAGUAACUGUGCACAUCUUGACGGUACCUAAUCAGAAAGCCACGGCUAACUACGUG